rnacentral:rRNA from 1 species
AACGAACGCUGGCGGCAUGCCUAACACAUGCAAGUCGAACGAGACCUUCGGGUCUAGUGGCGCACGGGUGCGUAACGCGUGGGAACCUGCCCUUAGGUUCGGAAUAACUCCCCGAAAGGGGUGCUAAUACCGGAUAAUGUCUUCGGACCAAAGAUUUAUCGCCUUUGGAUGGGCCCGCGUUGGAUUAGCUAGUUGGUAGGGUAAAAGCCUACCAAGGCGACGAUCCAUAGCUGGUCUGAGAGGAUGAUCAGCCACACUGGGACUGAGACACGGCCCAGACUCCUACGGGAGGCAGCAGUGGGGAAUAUUGGACAAGGGGCGCAAGCCUGAUCCAGCAAUGCCGCGUGAGUGAUGAUGGCCUUAGGGUUGUAAAGCUCUUUUACCCGAGAUGAUAAUGACGGUACCGGGAGAAUAAGCUCCGGCUAACUCCGUG